CAGGCCUAACACAUGCAAGUCGAACGGUAACAGGUUAAGCUGACGAGUGGCGAACGGGUGAGUAAUAUAUCGGAACGUGCCCAGUCGUAGGGGAUAACUACUCGAAAGAGUAGCUAAUACCGCAUACGACCUGAGGGUGAAAGCGGGGGAUCGCAAGACCUCGCGCGAUUGGAGCGGCCGAUAUCAGAUUAGGUAGUUGGUGGGGUAAAAGCUCACCAAGCCAACGAUCUGUAGCUGGUCUGAGAGGACGACCAGCCACACUGGGACUGAGACACGGCCCAGACUCCUACGGGAGGCAGCAGUGGGGAAUUUUGGACAAUGGGCGCAAGCCUGAUCCAGCCAUGCCGCGUGCGGGAAGAAGGCCUUCGGGUUGUAAACCGCUUUUGUCAGGGAAGAAAAGGUUCUGGCUAAUACCCGGGACUCAUGACGGUACCUGAAGAAUAAGCACCGGCUAACUACGUGCCAGCAGCCGCGGUAAUAC
rnacentral:rRNA from 1 species